GACGAACGCUGGCGGCGUGCUUAACACAUGCAAGUCGAACGGAAAGGCCCUGCUUUUGUGGGGUGCUCGAGUGGCGAACUGGUGAGUAACACGUGAGUAACCUGCCCUUGACUUUGGGAUAACUUCAGGAAACUGGGGCUAAUACCGGAUAGGAGCUCCUGCUGCAUGGUGGGGGUUGGAAAGUUUCGGCGGUUGGGGAUGUACUCGCGGCUUAUCAGCUUGUUGGUGGGGUAGUGGCUUACCAAGGCUUUGACGGGUAGCCGGCCUGAGAGGGUGACCGGCCACAUUGGGACUGAGAUACGGCCCAGACUCCUACGGGAGGCAGCAGUGGGGAAUAUUGCACAAUGGGCGGAAGCCUGAUGCAGCAACGCCGCGUGCGGGAUGACGGCCUUCGGGUUGUAAACCGCUUUCGCCUGUGAUGAAGCGUGAGUGACGGUAAUGGGUAAAGAAGCACCGGCUAACUACGUG
rnacentral:rRNA from 1 species